AUGGAUUAUCGUCCAAUUAGUGUUUGCAAUGUUAUUUAUAAAAUCAUUUCCAAAUCUUUAGCUAAUCGUCUUAAGCCUCAUCUUUCACAUUAUAUUGACCCUGCUCAACAAGCUUUCCUUGAAGGUAGAAGAAUUAGUGACAAUAUCAUUAUUGCUCAAGAGAUUUCUCACUCUUUUGCUCUUCGUUCUUGGAAUCACCUUGCUUUCAAGCUUAAAAUUGAUCUUGCUAAGGCUUUCGAUCGUUUAGAAUGGAGCUUCAUUGUUUCAGCUCUUGCACGUAAAGGAUUGCAUGCCCAUUUCAUAAAUUUGAUUUAUGAGUGCAUUUCUUCUCCUACUUUUUCUGUGGUCAUUAAUGGUAGGCCUUCUCAUAAAUUCAAAAGUUCUAGGGGUAUUUGUCAAGGUUGUCCUAUGUCCCCUUAUUUGUUUGUUAUUGCCAUUAAUGAAUUAUCUCUUGCUCUUAACGAAGCUUUAGCUGCUCAUAGUCUGCAGGGUAUUCUGCUUGGACCAAAUUGCCCCCCGAUUCACUCUCUUUUGUUUGCAGAUGAUUUGUUGGUAUGUGGUCAAGCUACUGUUCAGGAAGCUAAUGCUAUGGCCAGCAUUAUCAAUCAUUUUUGU
rnacentral:rRNA from 1 species